CUUUCUCCCCUCUCUCUCCAGAACUAACCUACGUCUUGACCUCUUAUGAAAUUGCUUAUUCCAGUUACUAAUAAGCAUACACCCAUUAAGAAAAUUACUGUAAAAACGAUUAAAUCCCCGUGGAUUGAUGAGGAAUUGAAAAAUUGUAUGGUUGAGAGGGAUGAGGAAAAAUGUAUGGCAAAUGAGUCUGGCUACACAACCAACUGGCAAACAUAUUUGCCGUGGCGGCAGGUAGACUAGUGGUUAGAGUGUAGGGGGGGCAGGUAGACUAGUGGUUAGAGUGUAGGGGGGGCAGGUAGCCUAGUGGUUAGAGUGUAUGGGCGGCAGGUAGCCUAGUGGUUAGAGUGUAGAGGCGGCAGGUAGCCUAGUGGUUAGAGUGUAAGGGGGGCAGGUAGCCUAGUGGUUAGAGUGUAGGGGCGGCAGGUAGCCUAGUGGUUAGAGUGUAGGGGCGGCAGGUAGCCUAGUGGUUAGAGUGUAGGGGGGGCAGGUAGCCUAGUGGUUAGAGUGUAUGGGCGGCAGGUAGCCUACUGGUUAGAGUGUAGGGGGGGGGCAGGUAGCCUAGUGGUUAGAGUGUAGGGGCGGCAGGUAGUCUAGUGGUAAGAGUGUAGGGGGGGCAGGUAGCCUAGUGGUUAGAGUGUAUGGGCGGCAGGUAGCCUAGUGGUUAGAGUGUAGGGGCGGCAGGUAGUCUAGUGGUAAGAGUGUAAGGGGGGCAGGUAGCCUAGUGGUUAGAGUGUAGGGGCGGCAGGUAGCCUAGUGGUUAGAGUGUAGAGGUGGCAGGUAGCCUAGUGGUUAGAGUGUAGGGGGGCAGGUAGCCUAGUGGUUAGAGUGUAGGGGGGCAGGUAGCCUAGUGGUUAGAGUGUAGGGGUGGCAGGUAGUCUAGUGGUUAGAGUGUAGGGACGGCAGGUAGCCUAGUGGUUAGAGUGUAGGGGGGGCAGGUAGCCUAGUGGUUAGAGUGUAGGGGCGGCAGGUAGCCUAGUGGUUAGAGUGUAGGGGCGGCAGGUAGCCUAGUGGUUAGAGUGUAGAGGAGGCAGGUAGCCUAGUGGUUAGAGUGUAGAGGGAGGCAGGUAGCCUAGUGGUUAGAGUGGAGGGGGGCAGGUAGCCUAGUGGUUAGAGUGUAG
rnacentral:lncRNA from 1 species